GUAUAGUAAGGCGUCAAAAAAGGUAAAAAAAAAUGUCAUAGUAUAGUAUGGCGUCAAAGACGCUCAAAAAAUGUCAUAGUAUAGUAUGGCGUCAAAAAUGGUCAAAAAAUGUCAUAGUAUAAAAAGGUGUCAAAAAUGGUCAAAAAUGGUCAAAAAAUGUCAUAGUAUAGUAUGGCGUCAAAAACGCUCAAAAAAUGUCAUAGUAUAGUAAGGUGACAAAAUUCAUCAAAAAAUGACAUAGUAUAGUAUGGCGUCAAAAAAGGUCAAAAAAUGUCAUAGUAUAGUAAGGCAUCAAAAAAGGUCAAAAAAUGUCAUAGUAUAAAAAGGUGUCAAAAAUGGUCAAAAAAUGUCAUAGUAUAGUAAGGCGUCAAAAAAUGUCAUAGUAUAGUAUGGCGUCAAAAAAGGUCAAAAAAAUGUCAUAGUAUAGUAAGGCUUCAAAAAAGGUCAAAAAAUGUCAAAGUAUAGUAAGGCGUCAAAAAAGGUCAAAAAAUGUCAUAGUAUAGUAAGGCUUCAAAAAAGGUCAAAAAAUGUCAUAGUAUAGUAUGACGUCAAAAACGCUCAAAAAAAUGUCAUAGUAUAGUAUGGCGUCAAAAACGCUCAAAAAAUGUCAUAGUAGAGUAUGGCGUCAAAAACGGUCAAAAAAUGUCAUAGUAUAGUAAGGCAUCAAAAAUGGCCAAAAAAUGUCAUAGUAUAAAAAGGUGUCAAAAAUGGUCAAAAAUGGUCAAAAAAUGUCAUAGUAUAAUAAGGUGUCAAAAAUGGUCAAAAAUGGUCAAAAAAUGUCAUAGUAUAGUAAGGUGUCAAAAAAGGUCAAAAAAUGUCAUAGUAUAGUAUGGCGUCAAAAACGCUCAAAAAUGUCAUAGUAUAGUAAGGCGUCAAAAAA